rnacentral:misc_RNA from 1 species
AACCAUUCUCACCUGCGGCUAGACCUGCGGAAGGAUCAUUACAGAGUUGCAAGACUCCCUAAACCAUUGUGAACCUACCUUCUACCGUUGCUUCGGCGGGCGGGCCCAGCGCCCCCCCGGCCCCCCGCGGGCGCCCGCCGGAGGAUACCCAAACUCUUGACAUUAGUGGCCUCUCUGAGUAUUCUUUACUGAAUAAGUCAAAACUUUUAACAAUGGAUCU